CAGAGCCUGUACUAACGAAAACACCCACACGUCGCUCUCCCACAGUGUUUCAGCAGUCUUAUCUCCCUCAACAGUCCAUUCGCCUUUCUUCCCAACACCGACGACCAGCUCGCGCCCAUGCCUCUCCGCCGCUGACCUCGGCGGCUUCCCCCUAACCGCAGCUGGCCUCAACGCUGCCGCCAAUUAGCUCGCGCCGGCGGCACGCCCCAGCUGUUCCCCGCCGCUCGUCGUCACCGAAGGCCAGGCGGUAGCAGGAGGCAGAAGGUGCAGACCUCGUCUCCAUUGGAUCCACGGCCUCGACCACAGCGCGUUCACUUACUUCACCAAGCCAGCCACCUGCUUCCACUGCAAGGAUGCCCUGCUCCGGCAGGUUGGAGCGAACCGGACCGGAGCGCCCAUGUAUGAGAUGCCUCUGCCUUCCGGAGUGGAUGAUCGAUGCUCCUUCCAACCUCUCUCGCGAAUGGAAUGCUAAAGUACAGCAAGCAGUCAUCAGACGUAUACAAAUUUGAAGGAUCAAUGAAAUCAAAUAAACAGGAUGAGAAGCAGCGGUGAACGGGGGGCUGCGGCAAGUCACAUCGCCGGCAUCCAAUAUGCCGAGGAGGAGCAAGGCUUCCUUAGAAGAGCGUGCAUGAGCUUUUGGAGAAGAGGAGCGUGGCGUCGCUGAGAGUAUCGCCAUCAGCACGCUCAAGGUCUGCAGGAACAAGCACGCCUUCUAAAGCUCCACCUAAUGGGUAGUCCUCGACAUGUUGCAUCUCAACCAACGCGCAGCCUGCAGGACAGAGAUCCACUCAUGCUAAGUUAAGAGAAUCACAUUCAGUAGGAGCAGCCUGGGCAGAUAUGCGUCUAUGGCGUGGCGAUGGACCAAGGGGAAAGGAAGGGGAUUUGUGCCACCAAGAGAAGAUGGACCACAGCGGCGCUAGGAGGUCGAGCCAGCGCCGCGGAGGAGCCAGGCAGCGCCAAACCUCCAAAUAGCGGCUUGGGGCGGCUGUACCUUGCCAGCAACUUUCCCCGGCGAAGCUCCGGCCGACCUCGACGUGACCGCCGUACCCCUCCGCCCCUACGGCCCUACCUCGCCACCCAAGCAACAUCGCCAGGCAGCGCCGAACCUUUGAAGAGUGGCAUGGGGCUCUGUGCUCCCGCCUCUCAGCGCGGACAUCAUCAACCAUGCCGGCUGCACCUUCCCAGCAGCUUGCCCUGGCGAAGCUCCGGCCGACCUCGACGCGGGACGCUGUUCCCCACCGCCCCUACGUACGUCGCCGGCCAAGCAACGCCGGCGCCAUACAUCCUCGGCCGCCUGCAGCUCCUCUGGACGAAGCUUGCAGCGUGAUCUCUCCUGCCUCCGUCGAAACCGGACAUCGAAGCAUGUCUCCGAGGCGGGUCAUGGCAGAGGGGCGAUAGGGAGUAGAAAAUUGGCCAGCAAGAAAGGGAAAAGCAGCAACCGUCCCGGAAAAGAAGGAUCACCGGAUGGAUCCCGGCUGCUCCCAGUAAAUAGGAAUUAUAUAAGAGGAAGAAAAGAAGGGAAAACGAAAUAGGCUUCCGCAUGUGCAGGAAGAAAACCGGACGUACGUGUCUCUAUGCCUGAUUAGAUAAAACGGGUGAUGAACAGUUUACAAAACGCUACCAUCACGGCAUAAGGGGUCAGCUUGCCGUGGCGCGGCUAAGUUGUCCAUGUAGAAAAGGCAAACUCAAAUCGAUCGAUCGAUCCAGCUCCCGGCCGACUGCAUCUUCCGCUCGAUCUCGGCGCGUCCGUCGUCGCUACAUCACGAUGAACACCGGCGACGGCAUCAGCUUCUUCCCCUCUGACGUUCUCGUCGACAUCUUCGGCCGCCUCCCUAGACGCGCCCUCGCCAGGUCCUGCUGCGUGUGCCGCACAUGGCGCGCCCUCAUCAGCGCCCAUAACCUCAACCCCCCGCUGCUCCCGCUCCCGCUUCCGCCCUACUUCCCAAGGCGUCCUCUCGGAGGCAUCUUCUUCUGCAAGACCGGGUACGCGUCCAAAACUUGCUUCUUCGCCCCGCCUGGCUCCCGACGCCUCUUCUUUCCAUACGAGGAGGAGGUGGACCAGUCAUGCAACGGCCUCCUCCUCCUUUAUCGGGAUGGUACGUGUGUGCUCAACCCGGCGACGGGACGGUGCUCUCGCCUACCAAGUCUACCGCCGCAGACACGCAUCGUCGCUGAGUCACUCGCCUUCGACCCGGCCGUGUCGCUGCACUACGAUGUCUUCCUCCUUGAGGAACUAGCAGCAAGACCAAACCAAGGCGAGGUUCCGCAGCAGCUCAAGAAACCACAGGUGGUGCGGUCGUUUGUGUACUCAUCAAGCACCGAGCGGUGGGAGAACCGAGAAUUCGUGCCUGGGCGAUGUGCCCCUGGGCACCUCUACGAUGCCGUGGCGACCCCUGGCAACACAUACAGUCCAACGGUGUGGUCAUCAGUCUAUUGGCGUGGGUCGAUCUACAUGCACUGCCGCAAUGACACCCUAAUGGUUCUACGCCCCUCGUGCGGGACUUAUGAUAUGGUGCAGCUACCUGGAAAACCAGGCAAUCCAUCAGACAUGAUCUCGCUACCUUGGAAAUCUGUACUAGCAAGCUAUGAGAGAGGGAUACACUACGUGGAAAGAAUAGACAAGUUGCAGCUCCGUGUAUGGACACUAAAUGAAUCCACAUAUGGCCAGCUAUGGUGGACAUUGGCAUAUGACGUUGGCCUCAAUUCACAUUGCCAUAUGAUUAAGACUCUCAUGGUACCGGGGAUGGUAAGAGGGGGACCAUGGGGUAUUGUUGGCAACAGGGGAGGACCAACCAAGUUGACCAAGGAUGAUGACUAUUAUGAUCAUAGUGAUGUUGAUGACGCUGAUUAUGAGGAGGAGGACGGAGAUGGUUGUGGAUAUUCCUGGAACUCCUUCUACAGCGAUGAGGAUGAAGAUGGUGAUGGUGAUGCAGAUUCAUGGGACGAGGACAAGGACAACUUCAUCGACAUAGACGAAGGCGCCGAACUCCUAGGCCCGCCAUCGUGGCGUGACUACUGCGAGAUCGUGGGAUUCCAUCCUCACAAGAACGCACUCAUCCUCAUAAUUCACUCUGCGGUGGUAGUGUACCAUCUCGAUACGUCAAGGAUGCAAUAUCUCGGCCACGAACAACAGCUCGACGGAUGUCCCAUUCAACAUGCUCGUUCUGUCACCGGUGCCUUCACCUACCGACCUUGCUACGCGGACGUGCUACCAGACGGACAGUCUUAGAAAGGGGAGAGGGUUCCAUUAUAUAUAGCGUUUGAAACGUUCUUUCUUUAAGAUUAAACACGGAUCAUAUAUUUAUAUAUACUCUCCUUCAUGGUCACCUAGGUAGCUUGUCGGUGGUAGUUGCCCUAUGCUUUUCAUUUCAGUUAGAAUUAGAAAGGAAAUUUUGCUUGGUUUUGUCAUGUAAUACUAUAUGUUGCUUUUUGUUAGUUUGAUUGGGUCACUUUUGCAAGUUAUCAUUGUCUGUUUCAACACCUGCGUAAAAGUGUGAGCUACAAAAUUUUAUCCACGUCACGACUAGUUUAUCGGCAUGUUGUGCUGACAGGUGAAUGACAACUGUCACUACUACUUUAUCUUCAAGAACCCAAGAGAUCACACCAUGUAAUGUUGAACAGUCUUUUGAUGACGUCCAUGUAUCAGAGAAAUCAUCAACUUCACUGCGACAGGUAUCACCUAUCAGAGAAACCCACAUUAUCUGCUUUGCCACAAAGGAUGUCAAAGUAUGUUGUUGGUUAGCGAUGUAUGGUAAAAUUCGAGAGUGCUCAUUUCAAUUUCAGAUAUAUAUUUCAACUAAUACAAACAGGGAACAUGGCAUCAGAAUCACAUACGAGCUAGCUUGGUGUUGAGCCCCGCCUCGUUUCCCCUCUGUCUGCAUACACUUCGUGGUCAGCCCCAUGAUCUAUCUCGAGCUGCUGGACAGAGACGAGAGAAAUACAGAGGAAGAGGGGAAGAAGACCAAACCAACAGAUGGGAGCCACCUCCACAUUAACGAAUUUUCCAUGUGUGAGCUGCCACAUCAUCAUUUUCCAUGAGGUGUGGGUCUUCGACGUUGCUCCUCGAGGAUGCACCUGAAACCUGCGUCGUCACCUGCACCUCAGCAGGUACUCUUCCACUCCAGUUUCAAGGUCCCAAAGCUGAAGACCCCAGCUCCCCCCCCACCCCUGUAGCCUCAUCUGACGGUACGUCGGUACCCUGACUGACGUGUGUGCAACUGCUGUUAGAUACCCGCCACGAUGACGGUGUAAUGUAGGUGAAGCUAACCUUAUCCUGUUCAGUGUGCCCGCUCCCCAUUGGAAGCGGCGAUUGUGUUUGUAACUUAUCUGUGCCCUUAUUUUUUGAAAGUCUUUUGUAACAUAUGUCGCGAGCGCUGUGCGAGCGGGCGAGGUCACUGACGGAUGUGUAUAUAUUGUGAUUAACCAUGUAGUGCCCUUGGGCCCGAAUCUGUGCUAGCGUUGGUUUGAUUUGUGAAACAACCUUGGUCCCAUACCUUGUAUAGGUAUAAGUUGAAUUUCAGUCCUGUAGUGGUGAGUCCCUUUUAGUUAAUUUAUUUUAUUCUUGUAGCUGUCUCUUAUGCAUUCUGACU